CAUCCGUCGCAGCCGUGCAUCGCAUCAGCUUCCCUUUUUGUUCGUUGUCGCUUCCUCUUUUUUCGUUGGCAGCGCCCACAUCAUCGCCACCAUCGCCACCGCCGUCAUCAUCAGAUGGGCUAACGCCUCUCUCCCUCCCCCCUUCGCUGUCGCAUUCCUUUCUCUCGGCCUCUCUCCUGCAUCGCACACCCCUCCCUGGUUGCAGGCUGUCGCGAAGAUGACCGUCAUCUCUGCCGGAGUUGUAAACAAGCAGGGCCGCAUCGUGCUUGCGCGUCAGUUCACGGACAUUAGCCGCGUCCGCAUCGAAGGUCUUCUCUCCGCCUUCCCGCGGCUGCUCGAGUCGUCGAUGAGCAAGCAGGUCACGUACAUCGACGCCGGCACGGUGCGCUACGUCUACCAGCCCAUCGAGGAGCUUUUCCUGGUGUUGGUCACGACAACGAAGAGCAACAUCGUCGAGGACCUUGCCACGCUGCAUCUCAUGGGUCGGUUGAUUCCCGAGUACGUGCCGGAGGGCAUCACGGAGGCCUCGCUGGAAGCGCACUCCUUCGAAGUUUUCUUCGCCCUCGACGAGGUAGUAGUGUGCGGGAAGCGCGAGAACAGCACAGUGGAGCAGAUUCGCGUGUACCUCGAGAUGGACUCGUACGAGGAGCGCAUGGCGCUCGAGGAGAAGCAGCGGCAAAUGGCAGAGGCGAAGAAGAUUACGGCCGAGCACGCGCGCAAGAUGCGCGAGCGGCGCAUGGCUGGCGGCGGCCCGACUGGUGGCGUGUACGGCGGCAUCAGCUCUGAUGACCCGAACUACGGCGGCUUCGGCAGCAGCUCUGCCGCUGGCGGCAACAUGAGCCUGUACACCGGCGGCGGUGGUGGCAUGGAGACGGCGUACCCGGCGCCUUCGGCGACGAUCAGCUCGCACACAUCCGCUCCCCUUAAGAUGGCGGCAGCGCCGCGCAGCGGCAUGUGUCUUGGCAAGGCACGCAAGACCGACAUCAGCAGCAAGAUCCAGAAGGAGAUGGGCAUCACGGCAUCGCAGGUGCCUGACGCCUUUGGUGGGGCGAGUGACCCGGUGGCGAUGGGGCAUAACGCAGUGGAACUACCGGUUGCUAUGGUGCCGCAGGAGGCGGUGAACAUUACCGUUGAAGAGAAGAUGAGCGCAACGCUGCAGCGUGAGGGCGAGCCGACUCCGAUAGACAUCAAGGGUGAGCUCACUGUCCUCGUGGCAGACCCGCAGCAGGACCACAUCAAGCUCAUGUUGGCGCCGGUGAGCGACGCCUUCACGUUCCGCGCGCACGCCAAGGUGAACAAGACGCUGUUCGCCAGUGACCAGGUGCUCGCCAUGGCGGACGGCAAGCCGUUUCCGGUGCAGCAGCCGGUCACCAUUCUUCGAUGGCGUCUCUCCAACUCCUCCGUCACCGCACCGAUUAACUUCACGUGCUGGCCAGAGUCAAGCAGCAUUACGAUCGAGUACGAGCUGGCCGACCCGAACACGCGGCCGCUGCAGCCCGUGCGCUUGGUCAUCCCUCUCUACGGCGCCAGCCUGCAAGAUGUGCAGCCGUCAACAGGCACGUACCAGGCGGUGGACGGCCAGCACGUGAUCUGGACGAUCGACGCCGUGGAUGGUCACCAAAAUACGAGCGGCAAUAUUGAGAUCGCCGCGGACAGCGACCACGGCGCCAACGGCGAGGAGCUCUUCUUCCCAAUCCGCGUUGCCCUCUCUUCCCAGGUCAGCAUCGCGCACGUUAAUGUGACGGAGGUGGUGUCGACCCAGAACGGCAACGCGGUGCCCUUCAGCCAGCAGUUGCGCUUGGUGAGUGACAGUGUGCAGGUGCUGUAAAAAAGCCUGGCGCCCACAUGAGAAAGCCACUUAUCAUCAGCAGGCGCGCUUAUUGUUGUCCCCUGUCACGAUCCCUUGCAAACGGCCAGGUGGGGAACCCUCCACUGCCCUGCACAUCCUUUGAGGUGACAGGGAGAAGCUGAUUUGCGGCGCAACCGAAAGGCGGAGAAAGGGGUCAAGAUGUGCUCCACCCCACCCCCGAUGUGCUGGAGACGCAGCGCGCGUGGCCGGUGUGGUGGUGGUUUCCUCUCUUACGUGUGGUUUUGCACGUCGGUGCCCAUCCGCCCACCCUUCCCCUUCUCCGUUCCACUCCCCCCCCCCUCUCUCGUAGGGCGACGUGUAUGUGUGUGCGUGCGGGGCGGUGUCACUUGCCUCGGAUGUGCCAGUUAGAGUAAGAGUGCCUGUGCUUCUACGCCCUCUCUCUCUUUCGUCGUCUCUCAGGCCUUGCAUGGCCGUCCGAGCUUACGCGCGUGGCCUUCUGUAAGAUGGCGCGCGUGCAGAGCAGGGCAGAGAGGGGAGGAGGUGACUGUGUGUUGUCUGUCUGUAUUCGUGUUGGGUGUUGGGUUGGCCUUUCCAGAGCGCCAACAGAAC
rnacentral:misc_RNA from 1 species